rnacentral:rRNA from 1 species
UACAGAGGGUGCGAGCGUUAAUCGGAAUUACUGGGCGUAAAGGGUGCGUAGGUGGUUGCGUAAGUUAGAUGUGAAAUUCCUGGGCUUAACCUGGGGACUGCGUCUAAUACUGUGCGGCUAGAGUACUGUAGAGGAAAGUGGAAUUUCCGGUGUAGCGGUGAAAUGCGUAGAUAUCGGAAGGAACACCAGUGGCGAAGGCGACUUUCUGGACAGAUACUGACACUGAGGCACGAAAGCGUGGGGAGCAAACAGG